UGGGACGUCCUGGGCACAGCGGCCCCGCCCUCGCUGCCCCCUGCCCAGCCCUGCAGCCCCACGGCUGGGAUCAGAGACAAUACUUGGGCCUCCUGUGCGCAGGUUCAUUUAUUGUAGAAAAUAAUAAUAAUUACAGUGAUGAACAGAACGUCUUAAAUUACAAAAACAAACCGGAGGGAAGGCAGAGGAAGCCCUCGGACCCUCCCCCGACCCUACCCAAACCUGUUUAUUCCGCCUUCACCCGUCCCACAAACCCGUCAGUCCAGUCUGCCGCCCGCCGAGGGACAGGUGGGUGGGAGGCCCUGGCGCGCUCCCUCUCACGGGUGGCCAGGUUUCCACAGCUCCAUCACGGAUCCACCCAGUCACCUGCCAGGACCUUCCGUCACGCCAAGGCCUGGGACACCCAGGAGCCUGGGGAAAGUGGCCAGAGAAGAACUGCAGCAACCGGAUGAGGACAGGAAAGGGAGGGGGUGCACGGGGGGACCCACGGAGAGGCUGAGGUCCGGGGGAGCUCUCCUGGCCAGCAGGAGCCGCUGCCCAGGCCACGGCCACACCUCGUCGGCUCUGCCCUCUCCACGUCCACCGCUGUGUGGAGGGGGUGGCUCGGGAGUCCCUUCCGUCCAUUCUGGCCGGGGGGUAAGAGGGGCCGUGCGAGGGCGCAGGGCUGCACCAUCCCUGUUUGUCUGCCUGUGGCGGGGCCAUCCCAGGUCACGGGCUGGACGGGUGGAGCUCAGGCCGAGGAAGAACAAAGCCGAAAGGGACGGCGGUGUGACCAGACCAGUUCCUUCCCGCCACUGCCGCCGCCAGCUGCCUGGGAGCAAUCAGGACACAGCAUCUGUGCAUUUGGCCUUGCCAGCAACUUUCCCAGCACUGGCCAGAGGAGUUGUUUGGGGAUGA
rnacentral:lncRNA from 1 species